rnacentral:sRNA from 12 species
GGGCGGCAAGCGCUGGAAUAACGCCGAGUUGGCCUUCGGGCUGGCAGCGCCCUUCACGGGCGUGGGACAGGCGCCAGGGGCCGCCCCUCAC